GACGAACGCUGGCGGCGUGCUUAACACAUGCAAGUCGAACGGAAAGGCCUGCUUUCCCUUGUGGAUUGCGGGUACUCGAGUGGCGAACGGGUGAGUAACACGUGAGUGAUCUGCCCCCAACUUGGGUAUAAGCCUGGGAAACUGGGUCUAAUUCCCGAUAGGACUGCAGGGUGGUGCCUGUUGUGGAAAACGAUUUUCUAGUGGUUGGGGAUGAGCUCGCGGCCUAUCAGCUUGUUGGUGGGGUAAUGGCCUACCAAGGCGGCGACGGGUAGCCGGCCUGAGAGGGUGGACGGCCACAUUGGGACUGAGAUACGGCCCAGACUCCUACGGGAGGCAGCAGUGGGGAAUAUUGCACAAUGGGCGGAAGCCUGAUGCAGCGACGCCGCGUGGGGGAUGACGGCCUUCGGGUUGUAAACUCCUUUCGACCGCGAGGAAGCCACCUGGUUGGAAGGGUGGUGACGGUAGUGGUAGAAGAAGCACCGGCUAACUACGUG
rnacentral:rRNA from 1 species